rnacentral:lncRNA from 1 species
GGGCCUCGUCGGAGGCAAAAACCGAGAGGGGGCGCGGCGGCGCCGCUGGGCUUCGGCCGCGUAUUCCGGCCGUUUGGCCGGGAUUUCGGCUUCGAUUUGGCCAUAGGAGGAAUCAGUGGGGAAAAACGAGUCGGGGGUAUGAAAUUUACCUCGAUCGGCGGUCGGAAAUUUCCCCGGUGCGGCGGCGACUGGCGGCGGGUGGCGGCGGUCGGCCUCUGGU